UACGGAGGGGGCUAGCGUUGUUCGGAAUUACUGGGCGUAAAGCGCGCGUAGGCGGCUUUGUAAGUUAGAGGUGAAAGCCCGGAGCUCAACUCCGGAAUUGCCUUUAAGACUGCAUCGCUUGAAUCAUGGAGAGGUGAGUGGAAUUCCGAGUGUAGAGGUGAAAUUCGUAGAUAUUCGCAAGAACACCAGUGGCGAAGGCGGCUCACUGGCCCGAUACUGACGCUGAGGCACGAAAGCGUGGGGAGCAAACAGG
rnacentral:rRNA from 1 species